rnacentral:lncRNA from 1 species
AAGAACAAACAGCGGUCGUGGGGGGAGUGGAAGAAAGGAACACGGCCACCAAGAUCGAAGCCCUGGGCCCUGCCUAACAGCGGCAGGUGGCGUAGAAACAGCAGGGAGUGCCAGUGCCAGGGGGAAGGCCCAUGAUGGAGGCAGCUUCAGUUGCGAAUUCAGGAGAGUUUUCUCCCUGGCUUGCACAGGGACGAAUUCGUAGGACGUGCACGGGGCGGUGUGUGGGGGGGUCCUGUCUCUGAAUUGUCCUGCCAAUCCCUUUUCCACACCCGGUGCCAAAAGGAGGGCUUGCCUGGCCUCCCUUCUCCCCACUUGCUCUCUGCUCUCCCCUCUUGCCUGCUCUCAGUCUCUUUAGCCGGCUAGAACCGUCUACCUUUCCUUAUAUAGCCGAGGCCAAAAGGAUUUCUCACUCUCCUUAUUAUGAACAGGCGGAGCAGGGUUUGGAAGGGGGGGGGGAGAGACUGCCAAAAAUAGCAAGCAAGCACGGUCCAGGGGGUGAGGGCGGGAGAGAGCGCCGAGCAAGGGAGGUCUGUCCCGGGCUGGCUGCACAUCUGCAAAGGACACCGCUCUGCACCCGGGACCAGAGGGUGCAAGGAGGAACGGCUGGCUUUGGCGGAGGGCCUCGGAGCGAGGGAUCCUCCUGAGUUGCUCGGCGUGGCUCGAGGCAGCAGAAUCAGCUCUCGGCUCUGUCUCUCCUUCCCUCCCGAGCCUACAUACUUCUUCAUAUGCCCAUAUGGAGCCGGCUGGCAUUAUGGAAUGUUAAGAAGUAUGUAUCAUUGGGACGGGAUCUCUGCCAGGAACAGCCUUGCAUUCCAUCAUGGCUUUUCGGGACUUGCAAAUAACUCCAGACAAGAAACCCGAGCGAAAAGAGUCAACCUAACCUGUUGCGUCCGUUCUUGUGCCCCCUGGGGCUGGUAAAAAGGAACCAGAUCGACUGACAGCUAGAUUUGGUCCCCUUCAACCAGCUGUAGUGGCACACAUCGCUUCUGUGGCUUCUCAGUGAUGCUGACGGCAUUUUUCUG